UACGGAGGGUGCGAGCGUUAAUCGGAAGUACUGGGCGUAAAGCGCACGCAGGUGGUUGGGUAAGUCGGAUGUGAAAGCCCUGGGCUUAACCUGGGAACUGCAUUCGAUACUGCCCGGCUAGAGUAUGGGAGAGGGAAGCGGAAUUUCCGGUGUAGCGGUGAAAUGCGUAGAUAUCGGAAGGAACACCAAUGGCGAAGGCAGCUUCCUGGCCCAAUACUGACGCUCAGGUGCGAAAGCGUGGGGAUCAAACAGG
rnacentral:rRNA from 1 species